UCGUGGGCAGCAGCAGCAGCCGCAUUUCGAGCCAUCUCAUUCAAUCGACUCAACGUCUGUUCCGGUGCCUGCAAACAAAAAGUAUCGCAAGGAUUUAGAACAAAACCAAGCAUGUACAAAUGAGGACACUAAUUCGUUGAUCGCAAUGAUAGAUAGCAACAAGAAAGACGCUAAACAAUAAUAUUUCGGUCGUCGUAUCUCGAUUCUAAGAAACAUACAUAAUGGGAACAUUUCUGGAAUUUCACCCAUCCGAGAAUGGGAUUCAAUAUUGCAUGGAAUUUUUCUCGUCUCCUCGCGUCUCCCUCCUGUACUUUGUAAAUGUGUUUGCUGCCAACAAACCUUGCUCCUCAUUAUAUCUACACUUACUGAUUUCUUGCAAGUAAUCGUAUCCCAAGGAACAUGUACCUGUGUUGUGGAUACUUGAGAUUUAUGAAGUCUCCACUAGUCUUCUUACUUACUUACAUACGCUGAGUUGUCUGCAUUGCCAAGCUA